GUGACUAAGUUAAACGGCCGCGGUACCCUAACCGUGCAAAGGUAGCGCAAUCACUUGUUCUUUAAAUGAGGACUAGUAUGAACGGCAUCACGAGGGUUAUACUGUCUCCCUAUUCCAAUCAGUGAAACUGAUCUUCCCGUGAAGAAGCGGGAAUAAAUAUAUAAGACGAGAAGACCCCAUGGAGCUUUAAACUCAGUACCACCUGCUAUUUUCAAAUCCUGUUAAUCACGCAGACAUGGUAACUAGUUUUCGGUUGGGGUGACCGCGGAGCAAAACAAAACCUCCACAACGAAAGGAACUAACAUCCUAAUCCAAGAGCAACAUCUCUAAGAAUUAAAAAAUUAACUUAAUUGAUCCAAUUACUUGAUCAACGAACCAAGUUACCCUGGGGAUAACAGCGCAAUCCAUUUAAAGAGCUCUUAUCGACAAAUGGGUUUACGACCUCGAUGUUGGAUCAGGGUAUCCCAGUGGCGCAGCAGCUACUAAAGGUUCGUUUGUUC
rnacentral:rRNA from 1 species